rnacentral:rRNA from 1 species
UACGUAGGGUGCAAGCGUUGUCCGGAAUUAUUGGGCGUAAAGAGCUCGUAGGCGGUUUGUUGCGUCGGCUGUGAAAUCCCGAGGCUCAACCUCGGGUCUGCAGUCGAUACGAGCAGGCUAGAGUUCGGUAGGGGAGACUGGAAUUCCUGGUGUAGCGGUGAAAUGCGCAGAUAUCAGGAGGAACACCGGUGGCGAAGGCGGGUCUCUGGGCCGAUACUGACGCUGAGGAGCGAAAGCGUGGGGAGCGAACAGG